UGAGGAAUAUUGGUCAAUGGACGAAAGUCUGAACCAGCCAUGCCGCGUGAAGGAAUAAGGCCCUAUGGGUCGUAAACUUCUUUUGUAUGUGAGCAAUAAGGUUCACGCGUGGUCUGAUGAGAGUAUGCGUCGAAUAAGCAUCGGCUAACUCCGUGCCAGCAGCCGCGGUAAUACGGAGGAUGCAAGCGUUAUCCGGAUUUAUUGGGUUUAAAGGGUGCGUAGGCGGAUGGGUAAGUCAGCGGUGAAAUGUCCCGGCUCAACCGGGGAACUGCCAUUGAUACUGCCUGUCUUGAAUGCGGAUGCCGUGGGAGGAAUGUGUAGUGUAGCGGUGAAAUGCAUAGAUAUUACACAGAACACCGAUUGCGAAGGCAUCUCACGAAUCCG
rnacentral:rRNA from 1 species